AACCAGCACCUCAAGUGGUCAGGAUGAUUAUUGGGCCUAAAGCAUCCGUAGCCUGUUCUGUAAGUUUUCGGUUAAAUCUAUGCGCUCAACGUAUAGGCUGCCGAAAAUACUGCAGAACUAGGGAGUGGGAGAGGUAGACGGUACUCGGUAGGAAGGGGUAAAAUCCUUUGAUCUAUUGAUGACCACCUGUGGCGAAGGCAGCUUUCUGGACCAAUACUGACGCUGAGGUACGAAAGCGUGGGUAGCAAACAGG
rnacentral:rRNA from 1 species